AUUUGGUUUGGCAUAAUAUAUACUAAAAUUAGAACAGUAUAGAGAGGAUUAGCAUGCCCCCUCUGCAAGGAUGGCAUGCAAAUUCGUGGAGCAUUCCAUACUUUU
ensembl:snRNA U6 U6 spliceosomal RNA